AAGAAUUUAGUUAAAAUAAUAACGUAAAUUUGUCAAGUUUAAAUUAUUUUUAAAAAAUAAUUCUUU
rnacentral:tRNA from 1 species